AAAGUAGACGGAUUCAAGUGAACCUGAAACAAAUAUCAACAAGAAGUGAUGUAUGAGCUACUUUGAUUCACUUCUUGUUGAUACAGUUAUUAAAUGUGAUCACUUCUCAUGGACACAUAUAUUCGCUACAACCAGGAAUGUAACAUAGAGAGAACACAGGCACAAAACAAGACAAGCUGAACUCACACAUUUGAGGAACGACAACAAUGGUUUGUAGCGUUUCAUAUGGAAAACACUUGCUGAUAGCACAUCAAGUACUCCCACCGAACAAAACACACUACCGCCACCUGAUGAUUUGAGUCCAAUGCACACACAUAUAUAACCACCAGGUCUAGCUGGUACAUCCGCAUAAACAAAGCCAAAAUAAUUCUACCCGCAGCAAAUUAGAUCGGCAAUGUGAUGAGGGAUCAUACUUAUCAUGUAACAAUGAUCUUGGCCAUG
rnacentral:lncRNA from 1 species